rnacentral:lncRNA from 1 species
CUUUAUUAACUCUGCCAAAUUUUCCAAAAUUACCAAAUGGAGAAAAGAGCUGGUCCCAUCUGUCACCAGGCACAACCAGCGCGAUACCUGACUUUCACCAUGAUGAAUGGAGACAGGAUGGGGUCUGAAUGCUAGUCUUCAAUGCACCAUACAACAGUGCUAGACCCUCAUCAGUAUGAAGGGGAACAAAGCCCUCCUUAAAAGAUUUACUAGAGUUAACACCUGGGGAUCCUCAAGAAAUGAAUGCUAUCAUUGUUCUGCUUCAGAAGGUAGAAAUACAGGGAAUACACUUCAGAUAGGUUAAGAUAAAAAGUUUUGUGUUUAAGGCAGCACCUCAGUUGCCUGGAAAAUUCACUUCUGUAUAAUGCCUAAUUUGUUAAUGAUGCCGUGAAUAGAUGCUUUCUAAUAACUACACAAGUUUGUUUUUAUGAAAAAGUAGAGUAACAUGUCCUCUGAUGUUAGUAGUAGGAGAGUUUGAAUAAAGGACUUUAAACAAAUGAAGCAUAUAAUCCUCUCUCUUUAUUAGAAUGAUGAAGAGUGGGGGUGUUGUCUGUUUAUACAGUUAUCACCUAGGAGUCAUAUCAAGAUUCUUUUCCUAAUCUCAGUGAAGAGGUUAAAAAAAAGUUUAAAGAUUAGAGAUUUAGUAGAAUUGUCUUGUAGCACCUUUUUAAAAUAAAAUUUUUAAACGUAUCUUUUCAGACCGGGCGCUGUGGCUCAAGCCUGUAAUCCCAGCACUUUCAGAAGCUGAAGCAGGUGCAUCAUUUGACGUCAGGAGUUUGAGAUCAGCCUGGCCAACAUGGUGAAACCCCGUCUCUACUAAAAAUACAAAAAUUAGCUGGGUGUGGUGGCAGGAGCCUGUAAUCCCAGCUACUCAGUAGGCUGAGACAGGAGGAUUGCUUGAGUCCGAGAGGCAGAGGUUGCAGUGAGCCGAUAUCACGCCACUGCACUCCAGCCAGGGCAACACAGUGAGCCUCCGUCUCAAAAAACAAACAAAUUUUAACAUAUCUUUUCACAAAAUCAAUCACCAGCCAAAUGUGUAAAACUAUGUAAGAACUUUUCCUUCUUGACCCCAACAAAUGGGGCAUUUCCAUCUGUUCCGCUAUGGCUGAUUUCAGAUGCUCCUACAAAACAGGGAAUCCAGCUGUGACAUAUUUUAAAUAUCAUUACUGAUAGACACCUGCUUAUUUCACAUAGAUUCAGUUUUCAAUCUUAUGUGAGAAAACUGCAAAAGAUGUUAAAAUAAUGGAAUAAAAAACAGGCCAAGAGAGCCUAUAACAUUUGCCAACAGUUAAAAGGAUACGUCACCAAAUUAGUAUGUGAGAAAAUAGGUAAAAUUCAAUUUCUUUAUCUUAUACAUACCAGGAGGUAGCAAUUACAAAGAAUAGUGAAUCACAUUUAUUUUAUAGAACACAAUUAUAACUUAGCACCAAUAGCUGUUCAAUUCUUUGAGCUUUUUAAAGCAUCAUAAAAUGUGUUAAUAGCUGAGUUUGUUACCUUAAAUACUAUGACUUUCAAAAGUUAAACUGAAAUUUGAUAAGUACUGCAAUUUAUUUUAUAU